GGAGGCUAGGGUUUUAUCAAAGAGGCUAAGAGGUUUUUCCUUGGAGUUUAGAAGAGAUACAUUUGAAGAGGCAACCAAUUGUUCCAGAGCUUACGGAAGAUUAAAGUGUUCAACUGUGUUCAGAAGUAUUAGCAAGAGAGAUUAAAGUUUAGUUGAGGGAACAGAACCUUUGGAUUGCUUCGUAAGGUGCAAGGUAGAGCGUGGGAGUUUUAG